CGCAUUAAGUGCCCCGCCUGGGGAGUACGAUCGCAAGAUUAAAACUCAAAGGAAUUGACGGGGCCCCGCACAAGCAGCGGAGCAUGCGGCUUAAUUCGACGCAACGCGAAGAACCUUACCAAGGCUUGACAUAUACAGGAAUAUGGCAGAGAUGUCAUAGCCGCAAGGUCUGUAUACAGGUGGUGCAUGGUUGUCGUCAGCUCGUGUCGUGAGAUGUUGGGUUAAGUCCCGCAACGAGCGCAACCCUCGUUCUGUGUUGCCAGCAUUUAGUUGGGGACUCACAGGAGACUGCCGGGGUUAACUCGGAGGAAGGUGGGGAUGGCGUCAAAUCGUCAUGCCCCUUAUGUCUUGGGCUGCACGCAUGCUACAAUGGCUGGUACAAACGGCUGCAAUACCGCAAGGUGGAGCGAAUCCGAGAAAGCCAGUCUCAGUUCGGAUUGGGGUCUGCAACUCGACCCCAUGAAGUCGGAGUUGCUAGUAAUCGUAGAUCAGCAACGCUACGGUGAAUACGUUCCCGGGGCUUGUACACACCGCCCGUCACGUCACGAAAGUCGGUAACACCCGAAGU
rnacentral:rRNA from 1 species